GUAUGAAACAUAGAUGUUGAACGAUUCUCAGACCUACCCGAUAUGCUCACAAAAUUUAAUAAAAACCGGUCCAACCGUUUCGGAGGAGUAUUGUAACUAACAUUUUGACACGAGAAUUUCAUAUGUAAGAUUAAAAAAAAAGUAAUUGUGACAUUAUUUUAAUUUAUCCCUGCAAAAAUAUUAUCAAGCUACUACUUGAUACUUAAGUAUAACUACAUAUUCAAAAAACAGAUAUAAAUAUCCCCCCUACACCUCUCUUGAUAUGUGGUGAGGUCGUAGACUAUAAACAUCACAUUUAUUAAGUAUUUUUUGGUUAUGUACUUUAUAUUGAAAUUUUCAGAAUCUUAUCUAUCGACAUAUCCGCCAACCCGCAUUUGAGUAGCGUGAUGGAUUAAGCUCUGAUCCUUCUCCCACAUGGAGAAAGA
rnacentral:misc_RNA from 1 species